rfam:Camelus ferus unplaced genomic scaffold scaffold977, whole genome shotgun sequence.
GAGGGUGUAGCUCAGUGGUAGACCACGUGCUUAGCAUGCAUGAGGUUCUGGGUUCAAUCCCUGGUACCUCCA